GUUCACCUUGCCUUGAGUGACAACAAGAUCUUUCUGAGAAACUCACUUUCUUCUGCACUUAGUACACAGUACUGAGCUAUGGUUAAUAGAGCAGGAAUAAGGACCAGAAAUGUGAACCUGGUGUUCAGUACUGGAGAUUGAACGCAGGGACUUUGCACUGAGCUCAUCCUUUUUAAUUUUUAAUUUUGAGACUGAUUUUGGCUAAGUCACCAACUUGCCUCUGCCUCAGCCUCUCAGAGUGCUGGGAUUACAGGAAUCGAACUCAGGACCUUGCGCUUGCAAGGCAGGCACCAGAACCACUGAGCUAAAUCCCUGGCCCUGACAGAAUUUUGAUAAUCAAGAGUUACCUAAGGGAUAAAUUUAGCAUUCUAGGACGUUAUGUGGGAGGAAGACAAGACAGGGAUAUUCAGUAAGGUUUCCCCCUUAACCUCUGCCAAUAGGAUUAAUUUGCUGAUCUAAAACUAAACAUUGUUUUCCUUUAUUAAAAG
rnacentral:lncRNA from 1 species